rnacentral:rRNA from 1 species
UACAUAGGGGGCAAGCGUUAUCCGGAAUUAUUGGGUGUAAAGGGUGCGUAGACGGGUGUUUAAGUUGGUUGUGAAAUCCCUCGGCUCAACUGAGGAACUGCAACCAAAACUGGAUAUCUUGAGUGUCGGAGAGGAAAGUGGAAUUCCUAGUGUAGCGGUGAAAUGCGUAGAUAUUAGGAGGAACACCAGUGGCGAAGGCGACUUUCUGGACGAUAACUGACGUUGAGGCACGAAAGUGUGGGGAGCAAACA